rnacentral:rRNA from 1 species
CCUACGGGGGGCAGCAGUGAGGAAUAUUGGACAAUGGACGAGAGUCUGAACCAGCCAAGUAGCGUGAAGGAUGAAUGCCCUAGGGGUUGUAAGCUUCUUUUAUAUGGGAAUAAAAUGUUCCACGUGUGGGAUUUUGUAUGUACCAUAUGAUUAAGGAUCGGCUAACUCCGUGCCAGCAGACGAGGUAAUACGGAGGAUCCGAGCGUUAUGCGGAUUUAGUGGAUUGAAAGGAAGCGUAGGUGGAUUGUUAAGUCAGUUGUGAAAGUUUGCGGCUCAACCGUAAAAUUGCAGUUGAAACUGGCAAUCUUGAGUACAGUAGAGGUGGGCGGAAUUCGUGGUGUAGCGGUGAAAUGCUUAGAUAUCUCGAAGAACUCCGAAUGCGAAGGCAGCUCACUGGA